CGCCCACCGCGCGGAGGACAACUUUUAGCCGGCAGCCCAGACCAGCGCGGCACCUGUCUCCGGAGUCUCCACCGCUCCUCCCGAUUCAUCCCAGGGAAAUUCUCAAGAAUACGCUCUACAAAUCUACGUGCGCAUCAUUUUCACCUCGCGUCGCGCCCGGGAGGAAGGAACGAGGCAAGGAGCUAAAGCAGCGUGCGUUCAGCCCUGGGGCAUUUUAUUAAUGCUUUUACGAGUUAGAAGAGUUGGGAUAAUUUGCCAUCUGGAGUUUCUCUGCCUUGCUGAUCUGAGCUCAGACCUGCCAAUUUACCAGAGAUAAUUGAUAACACCCUGUAACAGCUGAGUAAGUAGAUUCUUCUGUUUUACUGCUUUUAAAAAAAGUUUAAAGUUUUAAAAUAGUAUAAACUUUAAUUGGGUUCUUUAAAUUUUGUUGUUGAAUAAUGCAAUUAUUAUGAUAUUUUGUGAAUAUUUGUAAAUAAUGGGAUUCUGGAAUAAAUUAAUCCCCGAUGAUAGAAAAGAGUUAAUGAACACUUUCUCCAUACAUAACACUUUAGCAUUCAAGAAACAUAGGACUUAAAUACAUAUAUUAAAAAUUUAGGCCAGGUGCAGUGGCUCACGCCUGUAAUCCCAGCACUUUGGGAGGCUGAGGCGGGCAGAUCACCUGAGGUCAGGAGUUUGAGACCAGCCUAGCCAACAUGGUGAAAUCCCAUCUCGGCUAAAAAUGCAAAAAUUAGCCAGGCAUGGUGGCAGGUGCCUGUAAUCCCAGCUACUCUGGAGGCUGAGGCAGGAGAAUCACUUGAACCUGGGAGGCAGAGGUUGCAGUGAGCUGAGACUGUGCCACUGCACUCCAGUCUGGGCGACAGAGAGGCUCUGUCUCAAAAAAAAAAAAAAAAAAAAAAAAAA
rnacentral:lncRNA from 1 species